GACGAACGCUGGCGGCGUGCUUAACACAUGCAAGUCGAACGAAGUGGCGAACGGGUGAGUAACGCGUAAUCAACCUGCCCUUCAGAGGGGGAUAACAGUUGGAAACGACUGCUAAUACCGCAUACUGAAGGAGGGGAUUGCGUCUGAUUAGCUAGUUGGAGGGGUAACGGCCCACCAAGGCGAUGAUCAGUAGCCAGUCUGAGAGGAUGAACCGCCACAGUGGGACUGAGACCGGUAACAGACUCCGACGGGAUGCAGCAGUAGGGAAUCUUCCGCAAGGGAUGAAAGUCUGACGGAACAACGCAGCGUUAGUGAUGAAGGCCCCCGGGUUGUAACGCUCUGUUAGUCGGGACGCGGUACCGGAAUAGAAAGCCACGGCUAACUACGCGCCAGCCGCCGCGGUAAUAC
rnacentral:rRNA from 1 species